rnacentral:rRNA from 1 species
AACGAACGCUGGCGGCAUGCCUAACACAUGCAAGUCGAACGAGACCUUCGGGUCUAGUGGCGCACGGGUGCGUAACGCGUGGGAACCUGCCCUUAGGUUCGGAAUAACUCCCCGACAGGGGUGCUAAUACCGGAUAAUGUCUUCGGACCAAAGAUUUAUCGCCUUUGGAUGGGCCCGCGUUGGAUUAGCUAGUUGGUAGGGUAAAAGCCUACCAAGGCGACGAUCCAGAGCUGGUCUGAGAGGAUGAUCAGCCACACUGGAACUGAGACACGGCCCAGACUCCUACGGGAGGCAGCAGUGGGGAAUAUUGGACAAUGGGCGAAAGCCUGAUCCAGCAAUGCCGCGUGAGUGAUGAAGGCCUUAGGGUUGUAAAGCUCUUUUACCCGGGAUGAUAAUGACAGUACCGGGAGAAUAAGCUCCGGCUAACUCCGUG